AAACACCGAAAGCGAUGGACUGAGACGAACGCCAUGCUAGGACGAUCGAGAUCCUAUCGAAGUUGUAGAAUUAAAAUCGAUAGCUGUUCACUGAUUCGAUUGCGAGGCGUACGUACAUGCGUACAUGGCUACGACGAUCGUCUUCACGUCGCAUUCGCUUAUUUCGCGCAGAUGUCAAUAAAUAUUACUCACUAAUAAUAACUUGAUUGGUUAUAAGAUAUAGGUUCAAUUGUUCUGCCAAACGCUUCAAAACACUUUCUUUCUUUCUUUUUAUUUGAAAGGGGAAGAAGGAUGGAGAAUGCUUUGACGCAUUUGGAACGUCAACUCGACCGUGGCCAGGUAACUAUUCGAAAGUGACGCCGUCGGUAAUGCGGAUGUCGAUUCGAUAGGAAUCGACUGACUUUGGUGAUUACGCGUGUCAUAAAUGCCGUAUUUCGUCAGUGCAGACGGCGGUCUUGUGACAUCAAGUUUAAAGAUGGCCGAGCGAUUCUCUCCUAGCGACGAUUCUGAAAUCCGAACCAUCAAUUAAAUGUUAAUAUCAAAAUAUAUUCGAGAGACGAGUUUCCGCAACCAAUUUUUCUUCCACGUAACAUGAAACGAUAUCCUCACCACUGGAAACAGAACGAUAGAAUCAAUUAGACCAUAAAUAUUUUCAAACUAUGACGUUACGAAUUAACGAUUCGACAUAGUUUGAAAAAUGUGAAUUGCCUUUCUUUGCGUUUGCCUCGCUCGAUAUGCGAAUGGGAUCUAGUAUUCGAUAUAAAGUCGUAAUCUUGAUUCUGAACGCGAUACACUAGCAGACUAGCUAAUCAUGCGUGAUCAUUUGCGUAUCGGUGUCUUUGUAUCAUUUUGUAGUGUAACGGUAAUCUUAUAGAGACGUUAUGCAUAUAUAAUACGUACGUAAUGCUUGUGGAAAAAUUGGAAAAGACAAUGAAAAUUAAUAAGAAAUAAUAUAAAAAAUUACAGAAAACAUAUAACUAACAAUUGGGUUUCGUAACAAACAUCAUACCUGAUACACGUGUAAUUACACGUACAUCAUGUACGAUGAUAUUGGUUCGCGACAAACGUGAUAAUCGCAUUAAAAAACAAACAAACUCUGAUGACAACUCAAUUGACACACAAACGCUAUCAUCUGAUUGAUCGAUAAAAUUUAACCGACAGUAGUGUCGGACACAGUUUUCUUCGUCCUAUGUAGCAUUACACUUUCACCUCGACUUAUGAUUGAACUGAUAAUUUUCUCACAAGUCUGUGAAGAAUAAUCUACGUUAAAGAUAAUCACGAGACAAGGUAAACGUAAACGUGUACAAUGACAAUUGUAUUAGAAUUAUCUGAUUAACUGGAUUAUAAACGUUUUCAUUCCGAGACAAAUAAAAACUUAUGAUAAAAAUCC